rnacentral:lncRNA from 1 species
UUCGACCCUGUUGGUAGUCUCGUCACUAAGAUAACACUUAAGAUAAGUCUGCUAUAAAGCCAUUAAGACUUGAUUAGAUCCCAUAAGCCUUCGAUAUAUUGCUUUAAUUUAUUAUAGGUUGUAUCAUAGUUGAAAAUUGUUUUAUGCUUUCUUAUGUGAAAAUCUUUGCUUUCCCAGUCAGUCUCUAGACAGUAUUUUCACACAUGAAUUCCAACAUUCAUACUAAAAAUACUAUCAACUUAUCCUCUAAACCAACUCAGAUUGCUAAUAUCAAAAAUAAUCUUCAAAACUAGAGUAUUCCAGAAGAAUCUUUUAACACGAUUUAUC